AUUGAACGCUGGCGGCAGGCCUAACACAUUCAAGUCGAACGAGUGGCGGACGGGUGAGUAAUGUCUGGGAAACUGCCUGAUGGAGGGGGAUAAUUACUGGAAACGGUAGCUAAUACCGCAUACCAUCGGAUGUGCCCAGCGGGGAUUAGCUAGUAGGUGGGGUAAAGGUUCACCUAGGCGGCGAUCCCUAGCUGGUCUGAGAGGAUGACCAGCCACCGUGGAACUGAGACACGGUCCAGACUCCUACGGGGGGCAGCAGUGGGGAAUAAUGCACAAUGGGCGAAAGCCUGAUGCAGCCAUGCCGCGUGUAUGAAGGAGGCCUUCGGGUUGUAAAGUACUUUCAGCGGGGAGGCGUUAACCGCAGAAGAAGCACCGGCUAACUCCGUGCCAGCAGCCGCGGUAAUAC
rnacentral:rRNA from 1 species